rnacentral:rRNA from 1 species
UACGAAGGGUCCAAGCGUUGUUCGGAAUUACUGGGCGUAAAGGGCGCGUAGGCGGCGCGGUAAGUCACUUGUGAAAUCUCUGAGCUUAACUCAGAACGGCCAAGUGAUACUGCAGUGCUAGAGUGUGGAAGGGGCAAUCGGAAUUCUUGGUGUAGCGGUGAAAUGCGUAGAUAUCGUCAAGAACACCGAUAGCGAAGGCAGCUUACUGGGCUGUAACUGACGCUGAGGCACGAAAGUGUGGGGAUCAAACAGG